rnacentral:rRNA from 1 species
UGGGCGUAAGGGUGCGUAGGCGGUCUUUCAAGUACAGGAGUUAAAGGCUACGGCUCAACCGUAGUAAGCUCCUGAUACUGUCUGACUUGAGUGCAGGAGAGGAAAGCGGAAUUCCCAGUGUAGCGGUGAAAUGCGUAGAUAUUGGGAGGAACACCAGUAGCGAAGGCGGCUUUCUGGACUGUAACUGACGCUGAGGCACGAAAGCUGGGGGAGCAAACAGGAUUAGAUACCCUGGUAGUCCCAGCCGUAAACGAUGUGUACUAGGGUNUUGGGGGAGCAAAGGCUCUUCGGUGCCGUCGCAAACGCAGUAAGUACACACCUGGGGUCACGCGGCCGGUCUGGGAGGCCAAAGGGCACGACAGGGGGAGUAG